rnacentral:rRNA from 1 species
GUGGGGAAUAUUGGACAAUGGGCGAAAGCCUGAUCCAGCCAUGCCGCGUGUGUGAAGAAGGUCUUCGGAUUGUAAAGCACUUUAAGUUGGGAGGAAGGGCAGUAAGUUAAUACCUUGCUGUUUUGACGUUACCAACAGAAUAAGCACCGGCUAACUUCGUGCCAGCAGCCGCGGUAAUACGAAGGGUGCAAGCGUUAAUCGGAAUUACUGGGCGUAAAGCGCGCGUAGGUGGUUCAGCAAGUUGGAGGUGAAAUCCCCGGGCUCAACCUGGGAACUGCCUCCAAAACUGCAUGACUAGAGUACGGUAGAGGGUAGUGGAAUUUCCUGUGUAGCGGUGAAAUGCGUAGAUAUAGGAAGGAACACCAGUGGCGAAGGCGACUACCUGGACUGAUACUGACACUGAGGUGCGAAAGCGUGGGGAGCAAACAGGAUUAGAAACCCGUGUAGUCC